UACGUAGGGUGCAAGCGUUGUCCGGAAUUAUUUGUCGUAAAGAGCCUGUAGGCGGUUUGUCGCGUCUGCUGUGAAAUUUCGGGGCUCAACCCCGAACUUGCAGUGGGUACGGGCAGACUAGAGUGUGGUAGGGGAGACUGGAAUUCCUGGUGUAGCGGUGAAAUGCGCAGAUAUCAGGAGGAACACCGAUGGCGAAGGCAGGUCUCUGGGCCACUACUGACGCUGAGAAGCGAAAGCAUGGGGAGCGAACAGG
rnacentral:rRNA from 1 species